rnacentral:rRNA from 1 species
UACGGAAGGCAGCAGUGGGGAAUAUUGCACAAUGGGCGCAAGCCUGAUGCAGCCAUGCCGCGUGUAUGAAAAAGGCCUUCGGGUUGUAAAGUACUUUCAGUCGUGAGGAAGGUGUUAAGGUUAAUAACCUUAGCAAUUGACGUUAGCGACAGAAGAAGCACCGGCUAACUCCGUGCCAGCAGCCGCGGUAAUACGGAGGGUGCGAGCGUUAAUCGGAAUUACUGGGCGUAAAGGGCACGCAGGCGGUUAAUUAAGUUGGAUGUGAAAUCCCCGGGCUUAACCUGGGAAUGGCAUUCAAGACUGGUUAGCUAGAGUCUUGUAGAGGGGGUAGAAUUCCAUGUGUAGCGGUGAAAUGCGUAGAGAUGUGGAGGAAUACCGGUGGCGAAGGCGGCCCCUGGACAAAGACUGACGCUAUGUGCGAAAGCGUGGGGAGCAAACAGGGAUUAGAUACC